rnacentral:lncRNA from 1 species
CGGUUAUCUAAAUACACAUUACAUUUUCAAAUGUUCACAAUGUUCUUUUAUACACACUGUUCAGUUCACUGUCACAUCGUUGUCCACGUCGUCGCGGCCGUCGUCAUCUAUCGUCUAUCGUCCGCCAUGUCGUCUCCGUCGUCGUCGCCGACGGGACGAGCUAUGUUCCCGUCUAUUAAUCUACAUCGUUGUUGCUGUUCUUCUUUUUCUAACAACAAAUUUUACUCUUGUUUAUCUUCAGAUUGUUACCAACAAUUCAAUUCUGUGAUUGUUGAUUAAUCUCCUUUAUUUAUCCUAUAUCCAUAACGAGGAAGUUUCCCAUAGUAAUUUGACACGGAACUAACAGGUAGUUCCUUUAAUAAUGAUGAUUAACAACUGAUAAAAAUUUAUCGAAUUUAACAAUUGCAUUUAAAU